UGUGCCCAGCCCUCCCCUUCAUAGCUGUCUCUUUGCCUUACAAAUUCUGUUAAAGUUGUGAGAGCUGAGCACACUUUGCUCACUGUGAUUGUGGGUUUUGCCACUGAAAAUGGCAGUCCCACGCAGGAGAGACACAGGAUGCUUUCCUCCCCCGAUACAUGGGGCAAAUGGCUCUCUGCUCCCUGAGUGGAGGGCAGCAGUUUUGGGGAUUUUUGUACUCCUCUAGCUCAGCUCCAUUUGAAACUCAGCCUGUUGAUGUUCUCUGGGAUCUAGGGCCAAGCUCUCUAGCAUCUGACCUUGUCCUGCGACCUUCCACCUGCACUUGCUGUCACUCUGAGUUUUUUGUUCUCACCAGCAUUUGCUGAAGCAUCAUCCUUGUUUAUCUGCCCUGCCUGGGCCUUUUAACACAGGUGAACUCACCUUUGUAUAACAUGCGAUGGUUAAGAGCAGGCUCUGGAGUCAGGCUGUGUGGGUUCAAAUCUCAGCUACACUGUUUACUGGUGUGCUCUUGGGCAAAUUACUUAACCAGUUUUGGCCUGUUUCCUCGUCUGUAGAAUGGAUAUAUAAAAUGAUAGGAAGAUCAGAGAAAAUACUUGUGCUGGGAUCCGAAGGAAGAGGGGAAGAAGAGAGAAGGAAGGGAAUCACAGACAGAAGCAAAUAGCGUGUGCAAAGCCCUGUAGCAGCAAGAAGAGGCAGGGAGACUUGAGAGAAGGCCCAGGACUGCAAAGAGGCGACAGCUUGGCUCGCUCAGCCUCUUUUGUUGUGUGUCUUCCUGUACUAGAGAGACUCAGAAGCUAGAUGUCUCUGAAGCCAAGGGUGCAGGUCAGAUGCGACUUAGGCUCUACCAAUCAGAUGUACCAUGGAUGUUAAUGUUCUAAGUCAGGGGCCAUGUUUCUCUGGUCUUUGGACAAGCAGAGUCAAGGAGGUAUUUGUUUUUCCACAGCAGCUGUUGCAGAGGGCUCAGCGUCUAGAUCCAUGUGUUGUGAUUGUAGGGGAAGAGCUUGGGUCACCCAUUCUGCGGCAUGGGUCAGGGUAGAGUACUGUCCUUCCUGGAGCCGGCAGGGGUGGUGGCCACCUGAUUUCCCAGCUUCUUGAUUAUGGUGGUGGCUGCAGCUCCCCUGGCAGGCCAGUUCUGCAGUGUUCUUCUGGGGAUCAUUUCUGGAAGCUCAGCCUAGAGUCAGCCUCUCCAACCCUCCCAACACUGGUCAUACUAAGGACUUGGCUUUGGGAGUAGAUCUGCUCACUCGAAGGAAGAGUAAACAUUUGCCUCAAGCUCUUUACAGUCAGUGAUCUUAUCUAAUCCUCACAUCAUCUUUCUGAGAACCUGCUCUCACAGCAUUACAAGACGGAGACAGUAGACUCUGACAGGCAUAGAGGGCUCUGGAUCCUGAUUGUCUGGGCUCAAAUCUCUCUUCUGCCACUUCCUAGCUGUGUGACUUUGGGUAAGUUCCUUAACAUCUCUGUGCUUAAUGGUACCCCUCACAUGGGGUGUUGUAAGGAUCAAAUAAGUUAGUCUUUUUUUUUUUUUUUUUUUUUUAGACACAGCCUCACUGUAUCACCAAGGCUAGAGAGCAGUGGCGUGAUCUUGGCUCCCUGUAGCCUCUACCUCCCAGGUUCAAGUGAUU
rnacentral:lncRNA from 10 species